UACGUAUGGGGCAAGCGUUAUCCGGAUUUACUGGGUGUAAAGGGAGCGCAGGCGGCCUGGCAAGCCUGAUGUGAAAUACCGGGGCCCAACCCCGGGGCUGCAUUGGGAACUGCCAGGCUGGAGUGCCGGAGAGGCAGGCGGAAUUCCUAGUGUAGCGGUGAAAUGCGUAGAUAUUAGGAGGAACACCAGUGGCGAAGGCAGCAUGCCGGCUUCCUACUGACGCUGAAGCACGAAAGCGUGGGGAUCGAACAGG
rnacentral:rRNA from 1 species